rnacentral:rRNA from 1 species
GAUGAACGCUGGCGGCGUGCCUAAUACAUGCAAGUCGAGCGAACGGACGAGAAGCUUGCUUCUCUGAUGUUAGCGGCGGACGGGUGAGUAACACGUGUAUAACCUACCUAUAAGACUGGGAUAACUUCGGGAAACCGGAGCUAAUACCGGAUAAUCUUUUGAACCGCAUGGUUCAAAAGUGAAAGACGGUCUUGCUGUCACGUAUAGAUGGAUCCGCGCUGCAUUAGCUAGUUGGUAAGUUAACGGCUUACCAAGGCUACGAUGCAUAGGCGGAGGGAGAGGGUGAUCGGCCACACUGGAACUGAGACACGGUCCAGACUACUGAGGGAGGCAGCAGUAGGGAAUCGUCCGCAAUGGGCGAAAACCUGACGGAGCAACGCCGCGUGAGAGAUGAAGGUCUUCGGAUCGUAAAACUCUGUUAUUAGGGAAGAACAUAUGUGUAAGUAACUGUGCACAUCUUGACGGUACCGAAUCAGGAAGCCCCGGCUAACUACGUG